CAACCUGUAAAAUUCCUAUGAAUGAGCGCAACCUCCUCUUCUUCUUCUUCUUCUUAGUCUUCGUCGUCUUCGUCGUCUUCGUUGUCGUCGUCCUUCUCUGUUUCUCUUUCUUUCUCUCUCUCUCUCUCUCUCUCUCUCUCUUCCUCUGGUCACCGAGCUCUCGCACGACCAUGCGCGCGCGUGCUCAGGCUCGCUCUCCGACCUCGUCCGUUAUUAAAUUCCAUGACCUCAUGUGGAGUAGUCGGUAUAUCCUCAUGAAGGAAACAGCCCGAGUAUAGUCGAUGCCGAGCUGCCACGUGACACCUCGUUCGAUCACUUAUGUAUCUACCACGUAGGAAUACCAUAAUGAUCAUCCUAAUCGAGUGGGAUCACUCUCGAAGGAAGAUUUGAACAUUCUUCUAACACAGUUAGAUACCGUAAUCGUUCCGUAUCCAAACCGAUAUUGUAAUAUCAAUAAUUGCGAUCAACUAGCAAUGUAUUCCCGAGGGAUAAAAAGAGAAACAUUUCCACUUGUUCGAAGAUUGAUACCAAGCACGUAGCACUAACUCGUUAUAUACGUAUGUAGAGUUUCUUACGUAACGAUCAGCUUUCUAUUUAUAUUGCGCAUUAAGUUUAAGUUUUACAAGCACAAACGUACCGAUAACUAUCGUCAUUACGACUACGACGAAUGAUCGGGGAGAAUCGGAAAGGAGUGGGGUGGGGGGUUGGGGGAAGAAAAAACAGAAGAAAGGAAAAAAGAAGAACUAAGGGAAGAAAAAAAAAGAAGAAAGGAAAAAGAACGAAAGAGGGAAAAAAGAAGAAAGAUCGCAGAAGUAUUGUAGAAGCGCGUCCGGCUUGGCGCGUAACGUUAAAGGAGGUCGUGGCGCGCGCGCGCCCUCGAGCAACACGAGAUUAGCCGAAGCGCGUCGAGAGCAAAUACGGCACGUCGAUCUUGAAGGUUGCAGUAGUCGGUGCGCGCUAAUGCGCGCGAGACUACAUCCGCGUGUCGUAUUGGUACGCGCGCGCAGGUGCGGGCGGUCGCCGAUCGCUCCAACGAUCGCAGCCAUUCUUUUUUCGAUUUACAACUCGAACUAUGAGUUCUCGGCGGCCUUGCGAGAUGUCUCAAUUUUCUUACCGCUAACGAACGGAAAUAUACCCAUACAUACCUACGUGAUCUUCACCUACCGUCAACAAAGACCAAUGACUUAACGAGAUGGAGAAGAAGAGAGGAGACACGGGGAAGACUACGAUCACGAUGACGACGACGACGACUUUAGAAUCGAGCGAUAGAAGGUGCUCUCUCGAGGUCGCUGUCCACCCUGAGGUCACCCUCCUAUACCCACCGACCGAACAAUAUCCGAUGGGAACCCUUUAGGAAGGAGAGGAGGAAUGGAGAAGCAGAAAAAGAAAAAGAGAGAGAGAAAAAGAGAGAGGGCAAGAGAUACGUGACAUCCAGAAGAGUAAGAGCGAGAAAGAGAUAGCCGAGGGACAAUGCGAGACUUUGUUCAGAGGCACGCAGAACACCCGUGCUGCAUGUAGAGUCUCUCUGAUAGAGGGGAGGAAGACGUCGACGUCGACAUCGACGACGCGACGGCGACGCAAAGACGACGACAACGAAGACGACGAAGAAGACAACGACGACGAAGACGACGACUACGACGAAGACGAUGAUAGUGGAGGCGACGACGGAGACGUCGUCUGAAGUCUCGGUGAACCCGCGCAGCGAAUCGAUUUUACGAGAGUCUUUUUUUCACAAGGGUGAAGAAGGAAGAGGAUGGUUAAAACGAAAUGGAUGGCUUGUGAGAGGAUUCACUCUCUCUCUCUCUCUCUCUCUCUCUUUCUUCUUCUCAUUCUCUCCUUUUUAUCCCACUACGAUCCCUUUCAAUUCGGUUACGAUCUUUGGAUAAGUCCGUUGAAAAUCAGAAAAACCCCGUGGACGAAUCGAAUGUCUUUACAUAUUCUUUGAGUAUCAAACGUAGAAAAAAAAAAAAAAAAGAAAAAAAUAAUCUGAUAUAUCAUGUCUGAGCGCCAUGUUGUUAAAGGUUACAUCACGUGACUCAACCAUCUUGAUUAUUUUUCUCAUUAACAAAGUACAUAAAUAAUAGAUAUUUUAGGAUAAUCUUUGUGGAUAAUCUCGAAUCCCGGAAACAUAUCAGAAAGAAAGAAAGAAAGAAAAAAAAAAUGCAUAUCUACGAAUUCUAUUAGAUUUACUAUUUUCUUUUUUAUGUUAUUUUUUUUUUUUUCAUUUAUCA